CAAUAGCGUAUAUUAACGUUGUUGCAGUUAAAAAGCUCGUAGUUGGAUUUCUGGAGGGAGCGUCGGCCCGUAUUUACGAGUGCGUGACGUCUCUGUCCAUCCUUGCGGGAAGGCACGGCAUUGAUUUGUUGUGUCGGAUCGCAUCAUUUACUGUGAAAAAAUUAGAGUGUUCAAAGCAGGCUUUCGCUUGAAUACAUUAGCAUGGAAUAAUAAGAUAGGACUUUGGUGCUAUUUUGUUGGUUGAGCCUAUAGUAAUGAUUAAUAGGGAUAGUUGGGGGCACCUGUAUUGCGUUGUCAGAGGUGAAAUUCUUGGAUUUACGCAAGACAAACAGCUGCGAAAGCGUCUGCCAAGGAUGUUUUCAUUAA
rnacentral:rRNA from 1 species